rnacentral:rRNA from 1 species
CUCGUAGGCGGUUCGUCGCGUCCGGUGUGAAAGUCCAUCGCUUAACGGUGGAUCCGCGCCGGGUACGGGCGGGCUUGAGUGCGGUAGGGGAGACUGGAAUUUCCGGUGUAACGGUGGAAUGUGUAGAUAUCGGGAAGAACACCAAUGGCGAAGACAGGUCUCUGGCCGUCACUGACGCUGAGGAGCGAAAGCGUGGGGAGCGAACA